GUAGAGGUAGCUCAAUGCUAGAGCACUUGCCUAGCAUGUAUGAGGCCCUGGGUUCGAUUCUCAGCACCACA
rnacentral:tRNA from 1 species